rnacentral:rRNA from 1 species
AUUGAACGCUGGCGGCAGGCCUAACACAUGCAAGUCGAACGAGUGGCGGACGGGUGAGUAAUGCCUGGGAAACUGCCUGAUGGAGGGGGAUCACUACUGGAAACGGUAGCUAAUACCGCAUACCAUCAGAUGUGCCCAGAUGGGAUUAGCUAGUGGGUGGGGUAAGGGCUCACAAAGGCGACGAUCCCUAGCUGGUCUGAGAGGAUGACCAGCCACACUGGAACUGAAACACGGUCCAGCCUCCUCCGGGAGGAAGCAGUGGGGAAUAUUGCACAAUGGUCACAAUCCUGAUGCAGCCAUGCCGCGUGUAUGGAGAGGGCCUUCGGGUUGUAAAGUACUUUCAGCGGGGAGGCGUUACCCGCAGAAGAAGCACCGGCUAACUCCGUGCCAGCAGCCGCGGUAAUAC